GCGUGCCUAAUACAUGCAAGUCGAGCGAGCUGAAUUCAAAGAUCCCUUCGGGGUGAUUUGUUGGACGCUAGCGGCGGAUGGGUGAGUAACACGUGGGCAAUCUGCCCUAAAGACUGGGAUACCACUUGGAAACAGGUGCUAAUACCGGAUAACAACAUGAAUCGCAUGAUUCAAGUUUGAAAGGCGGCGUAAGCUGUCACUUUAGGAUGAGCCCGCGGCGCAUUAGCUAGUUGGUGGGGUAAAGGCCUACCAAGGCAAUGAUGCGUAGCCGAGUUGAGAGACUGAUCGGCCACAUUGGGACUGAGACACGGCCCAAACUCCUACGGGAGGCAGCAGUAGGGAAUCUUCCACAAUGGACGCAAGUCUGAUGGAGCAACGCCGCGUGAGUGAAGAAGGUUUUCGGAUCGUAAAGCUCUGUUGUUGGUGAAGAAGGAUAGAGGCAGUAACUGGUCUUUAUUUGACGGUAAUCAACCAGAAAGUCACGGCUAACUACGUGCCAGCAGCCGCGGUAAUACGUAGGUGGCAAGCGUUGUCCGGAUUUAUUGGGCGUAAAGCGAGCGCAGGCGGAAUGAUAAGUCUGAUGUGAAAGCCCACGGCUCAACCGUGGAACUGCAUCGGAAACUGUCAUUCUUGAGUGCAGAAGAGGAGAGUGGAAUUCCAUGUGUAGCGGUGGAAUGCGUAGAUAUAUGGAAGAACACCAGUGGCGAAGGCGGCUCUCUGGUCUGCAACUGACGCUGAGGCUCGAAAGCAUGGGUAGCGAACAGGAUUAGAUACCCUGGUAGUCCAUGCCGUAAACGAUGAGCGCUAGGUGUUGGGGACUUUCCGGUCCUCAGUGCCGCAGCAAACGCAUUAAGCGCUCCGCCUGGGGAGUACGACCGCAAGGUUGAAACUCAAAGGAAUUGACGGGGGCCCGCACAAGCGGUGGAGCAUGUGGUUUAAUUCGAAGCAACGCGAAGAACCUUACCAGGUCUUGACAUCCUGUGCUACACCUAGAGAUAGGUGGUUCCCUUCGGGGACGCAGAGACAGGUGGUGCAUGGCUGUCGUCAGCUCGUGUCGUGAGAUGUUGGGUUAAGUCCCGCAACGAGCGCAACCCUUGUCUUUAGUUGCCA
rnacentral:rRNA from 1 species